CUUUCCGAUCUCCCCUGCUCAGAGGUGGCCUUCCAUGAAUUCCUUGGACCUUGGAUUACUGUAAAACUCUUACAAGGGUGGCCAAGGUAGAAAGUGACUCUGUUAACCUCAACCCUUUUUCCCUGCAGAUCCUCACAUAAGUGCCAGUUCUCAAGCAGGUCCUGGUGGGGCAGAGUGAUACCUUGGAUGGAGGGCAGUCCCAAGAUGCAGUAGGCUUUGGCCUCUCAGAAUCCAGUCUCCUCCUGGCUGCCUUUGAAUCAAGAUGUAGAGCUCUAGGCUUCUUCAGUACUCUAUCUAACUGCCUGCUGCCCAUGCUUUCUGCCAUGA
rnacentral:lncRNA from 1 species